UAUACGGUGAACUGCGAAUGGCUCAUUAAAUCAGUUAUCGUUUAUUUGAUAGUACCUUACUACUUGGAUAACCGUGGUAAUUCUAGAGCUAAUACAUGCUAAAAACCCCGACUUCGGAAGGGGUGUAUUUAUUAGAUAAAAAACCAGCGCCCUUCGGGGCUCCUUGGUGAUUCAUAAUAACUAAACGAAUCGCAUGGCCUUGCGCCGGCGAUGGUUCAUUCAAAUUUCUGCCCUAUCAACUUUCGAUGGUAGGAUAGUGGCCUACCAUGGUAUCAACGGGUAACGGGGAAUUAGGGUUCUAUUCCGGAGAGGGAGCCUGAGAAACGGCUACCACAUCCAAGGAAGGCAGCAGGCGCGCAAAUUACCCAAUCCCGACACGGGGAGGUAGUGACAAUAAAUACUGAUACAGGGCUCUUUCGGGUCUUGUAAUUGGAAUGAGUACAAUUUAAAUCCCUUAACGAGGAACAAUUGGAGGGCAAGUCUGGUGCCAGCAGCCGCGGUAAUUCCAGCUCCAAUAGCGUAUAUUAAAGUUGUUGCAGUUAAAAAGCUCGUAGUUGAACCUUGGGCCUGGCUGGCCGGUCCGCCUCACCGCGUGUACUGGUCCGGCCGGGCCUUUCCUUCUGGGGAGCCGUAUGCCCUUCACUGGGCGUAUUGGGGAACCAGGACUUUUACUUUGAAAAAAUUAGAGUGUUCAAAGCAGGCCUUUGCUCGAAUACAUUAGCAUGGAAUAAUAGAAUAGGACGUGCGGUUCUAUUUUGUUGGUUUCUAGGACCGCCGUAAUGAUUAAUAGGGAUAGUCGGGGGCAUCAGUAUUCAAUUGUCAGAGGUGAAAUUCUUGGAUUUAUUGAAGACUAACUACUGCGAAAGCAUUUGCCAAGGAUGUUUUCAUUAAUCAGUGAACGAAAGUUAGGGGAUCGAAGACGAUCAGAUACCGUCGUAGUCUUAACCAUAAACUAUGCCGACUAGGGAUCGGGCGAUGUUAUCAUUUUGACUCGCUCGGCACCUUACGAGAAAUCAAAGUC
rnacentral:rRNA from 1 species